CUGUCGUCCGCCGCAAGGUCCUCCGCUUCGUCAAGCUCUGCUUCAGCCAAGGACUUCAACAACGCCUGCCCGAAUAUUUACACCGUGAAGUGUUUUGGAUCACUGAGGCCGCUCCGUUCCACCUCCGGAUCUGCUUCCUGACCAGCCAGGACCUCACAGCUGCACACAGUCCGAAACGUCCGACAGUAAACAGCCGGAUCGCUCACGAGGCAAGUCGAGAAUUUGAACCAGAUGAACUAUGCUACUUGUGGGAUUCUGGACUUGCACCGAAAGAACAUCAGAAAGCAAGACGACAUGCGGCAUGUCCUGCUUCUCAGAGGACAACCUGUCUGGACCUCCAUGUGCCGACACCGCGUGUUCCCGACUCACCGGGUCAGAGUCAGCACUCACAGUGGAAUCGAGGCCAGGCGGCUCUGCCUAAUUCCUGCCAGCUUCACC